GAUGAACGCUGGCGGCGUGCCUAAUACAUGCAAGUCGAGCGGUAACAGGCUCUCACAGUUUGCUUAAGUUCUUUGCCAAAAUAGCUCCGUAAGGAGGGAAAACUGUCAAAGAUGAUGAACCAUUUCGGAGGGCUAGGCUAGCCUGAAGGAAUGCGGGAGUUAUAUUAAGCGAAGUGUGAGAGUGCUGACGAGCGGCGGACGGCUGAGUAACACGUAGGAACGUACCCCAAAGUGAGGGAUAAGCACCAGAAAUGGUGUCUAAUACCGCAUGUGAUCUAUAGAUUGAUUUUUACGGAUUAAAGCUUUAUGCGCUUUGGGAACGGCCUGCGUAUGAUUAGAUUGUUGGUGAGGUAAUGGCUCACCAAGUCGACGAUCAUUAGCUGGUCUGAGAGGAUGAUCAGCCAG
rnacentral:rRNA from 1 species